UGCAACGCGAAAACCUUACUACCCUUGACAUGUCCGGAAUCCCGAACGAGAUUUGGGAGUGCUCGCAAGAGAACCGGAACACAGGUGCUGCAUGGCUGUCGUCAGCUCGUGUCGUGAGAUGUUGGUUAAGUCCCGCAACGAGCGCAACCCUUGUCAUUAGUUGCCAUCAUUUGUUGGGCACUCUAAUGAGACUGCCGGUGACAAACCGGAGGAAGUGGGGAUGACGUCAAGUCCUCAUGGCCCUUAUGGGUAGGGCUUCACACGUCAUACAAUGGUCGGUACAGAGGGUUGCCAACCCGCGAGGGGGAGCUAAUCCCACAAAGCCGAUCGUAGUCCGGAUCGCAGUCUGCAACUCGACUGCGUGAAGUCGGAAUCGCUAGUAAUCGUGGAUCAGCAUGUCACGGUGAAUACGUUCCCGGGUCUU
rnacentral:rRNA from 1 species